UACGUAGGGAGCUAGCGUUGUCCGGAAUCAUUGGGCGUAAAGCGCGUGUAGGCGGCCAGGUAGGUCGGCUGUGAAAACUCGAGGCUCAACCUCGAGAUGUCGGCCGAAACCAUCUGGCUAGAGUCCGGAAGAGGAGAAUGGAAUUCCCGGUGUAGCGGUGAAAUGCGCAGAUAUCAGGAAGAACACCCAUGGCGAAGGCGGCCAGCUGGGCCGGGUCCGACGCUGAGGCGCGAAAGCGUGGGGAGCAAACAGGAUUAGAAACCCCGGUAGU
rnacentral:rRNA from 1 species